rnacentral:lncRNA from 1 species
AGGGGAAGGCAGAGAGUGUGAAAGUGGCGAAUCACAGGUGCAUUUAAGUCAUCUGUAGCACUAUUUGUAAAUAGUCUGGACUCAGUGGAACCUGCUGUCUUAUGAAUAUAAUAUUUUUAACAAGACAGAAACAUGUUCAAAAGUUUGUGUAAAAUUUUAUGAUAUAGCAAGUGAAGAUCGAAAGAAAAGGCUGGAUUUUUUGAAGAAAGGAACACAGCUGAAUUAUCAACGUCACUGUUUGAAUUCAACAGAAGUAAUACUUUCUACCUCUUCGACCACACUGAUAUUACCGUUACAUAUCCUGGGGAAAGUGAAACAAAUUGGGCUAUUGCAAGUUUGGUUACUGCUUGACUUGAUCUCAAAAGGUAAUUACAGAAUCUUUUAAAUUAAUUAAUUAAUUAAUUAAUUUAAUUUUUAAGUGAUUUUAAUUUUUUCCAUUGUAGUUGAUUUGCAGUGUUUCAUCAAUUUCUACUAUACAGCAAAGUGUGCCAGUCAUACAUAUAUGUACACAUUGUUUUUCUCACACCCUCCAUCCUGUUCCAUCGCAAGUGACUAGGUAGAGUUCCCUGUGCUGUACAGCAGGAUCUCAUUGCUUCUCCACUCCUUAUGCAAUAGUUUGCAUCUACUAACCCUGGACUCCCAGUCCAUCCCACUCCCUCCCCCUCCCCCUAGGCAACCACAAGUCUGUUCUCCAGGUCCAUGACUUUCUUUUCUGUGGAAAGGUGCAUUUGUGCCAUAUAUUAGAUUCCAGAUAUGGGGAUAUCAUCUGGUAUUUGUCUUUCUCUUUCUGACUUACUUCAUUUAGGCUACAUGUGUGAUAUAUAACCUUAGACAUAAAGUUUGAAAAAUCAAAUAGGCCAUUUUAUUCCCUUUUAUGUAGUAAGCAUCUAAGUAACAUGUAAUGUGAGGAAGAAUUGACAGAUCUGGAAGAGAGCAGACUUUUUUUCCCUCUUUUUAGGGCUGGGUAGGGGUCGAGUCAGAGCUGCAGCUGCUGGCCUAUGCCACAUCCACAGCAACGCCAGAUCCAAGCUGGCCCUGCGACCUACACCACAGCUCACAACAACGCCAGAUCCUUAACCCACUGAGUGAGGCCAGGGAUCAAACCCACGUCCUCAUGGUUAGUAGUUGGGUUCUUUACUGCUGAGCCACAGUGGGAACUCCUGGAAGAGGACAGACUUGUUGAGGGUAUCCUGACUCUCUUCUUCCCUCCCUCCUUCCUUUCUUCUUUCUUUCAGGUCGCACCCUUGGUGUAUGGAAGUUCCCAGCCAGGGAUUGAAUCUGAGCUGCAGCUGUGACCUACACCACAGGUGCAGCAAUGCUGGGUCCUUUAAUCCACUGUGUGGGGCUGGGGAUCCAAUCCAUGCCUCCCAAGUGACCCAAGCUGC